CUAUCACAUGAGCCUGCGUAAGAUUAGCUAUUUGGUGGGGUAAAAGCUCACCAAGGCGACAAUCUUUAGCUGGUCUGAAAGGAUGAUCAGCCACACUGGAACUGAGACACGGUCCAGACUCCUACGGGAGGCAGCAGUGGGGAAUAUUGGACAAUGGGCGCAAGCCUGAUUCAGCAAUACCGCGUGUGUGAAGAAGGCCUAAGGGUUGUAAAGCACUUUCAAUUAGGAAGAAAAACUAAUGGUUAAUACCCAAUUAGUCUUGACGUUACUUUUAGAAGAAGCACCGGCUAACUCCGUGCCAGCAGCCGCGGUAAUACGGAAGGUGCAAGCGUUAAACGGAAUUACUGGGCGUAAAGCGUGCGUAGGUGGUUUGUUAAGUCAGAUGUGAAAGCCCCGGGCUCAACCUGGGAACUGCAUUUGAAACUGGUAAACUAGAGUAUAGGAGAGGAAAGUGGAAUUUCUGGUGUAGCGGUGAAAUGCGUAGAUAUUAGAAGGAACAUCAAUGGCGAAGGCAGCUUUCUGGACUAAUACUGACACUGAGGUACGAAAGCGUGGGUAGCAAACAGGAUUAGAUACCCUGGUAGUCCACGCCGUAAACGAUGAUAACUAGUCGUUGAGGGGGAUUACCCUUUAGUGGCGAAGCUAACGCGUUAAGUUAUCCGCCUGGGGAGUACGGCCGCAAGGUUAAAACUCAAAGGAAUUGACGGGGACCCGCACAAGCGGUGGAGCAUGUGGUUU
rnacentral:rRNA from 1 species